rnacentral:sRNA from 2 species
UUUACAGUUUACUAGGGUUCCGCCAAUUUGGGUCAGGUCCGAGAGUAAACCGCUGCCGCUACCUUAAUGCGUCAGUGACACGGAGGGAUAAAAACCCGGGAGAU